AUGAAGGAUUACGUUCAGUUUUAUGGCCAUCAGAAAAAUGUGGAUAACAGUCUGCCCAUCAAAACUGAUAAAGAUACAUUGAGAGAAGGAUACAGGUUCAUUCUUUCAGAGGAAGAUGACAUGGAUUCAACUUGGGAGAAGAGGCUGGUCAAACGUUACUAUGACAAGCUUUUUAAAGAGUAUUGCAUUGCUGACAUGACCCAGUAUAAAAAAUGCAAGGCAUGCACCCUUGUAACACAGAAGCGAACAACUAUUAACGAUAUGGCAGUUGUGCAUUUUCAGUGGCAGGAUGAUGAAUGGAUGCCCAACCAGUUUUUUUUCCUUCUAAAAUCAUCUGUAGUUUUGGAUAUGAAUCCCAUCUUACAAGGGUAUAUUCUCCUGCAGAUUGGAUUGAGAUGGAGAACAGAAAAGGAAGUGAUAUCUGGCAAAGGGCAAUUUAUCUGUGGCAGUAGGCAUUGUGAUGAAAAACAUGGGCUAGGUAGUUAUGAGGUGAAUUUUUCUUAUGUUGAGGCAGGGGAGCAGAAACAAGCACUAGUGAAGCUGGUAGCUUGCAAGAGAUGUGCAGAAAAGCUUGCUUAUAAGAGGCUGAAGGAGAAAGAGAAAGAGAAGGAGGAGGAUCCCUACGGUGAAAAGGAAAUUAAGUUGAAAGACAGGGACAAGAGAAAGAGAGAACAUGAAGAAAGUGAUGACACCUCUGAGGAUGAGGCCAAGAAAGAUCGAAGAAAGAAAAAAGAUCGGAAGGGAGCUUCUUCAAGGAGUUCAGGAAACAACGGUGAAGGUUUUGAAGAGUUCCUCAAAGGCAUGUUCCCAUGA
rnacentral:rRNA from 1 species